rnacentral:rRNA from 2 species
GAAACGCUGCUAAGACUGGAUAGGAGAUAAGAAGGCAUCUUCUUAUUUUUAAAAGACCUAGCAAUAGGUAUGCUUAGGGAAGAGCUUGCGUCACAUUAGUUAGUUGGUGGGGUAAUGGCCUACCAAGACGAUGAUGUGUAGCCGGGCUGAGAGGUCGAACGGCCACAUUGGGACUGAGACACGGCCCAAACUCCUACGGGAGGCAGCAGUAAGGAAUUUUCGGCAAUGGAGGAAACUCUGACCGAGCAAUGCCGCGUGAACGAUGAAGUAUUUCGGUACGUAAAGUUCUUUUAUUAGGGAAGAAAAGAUGGUGGAAAAACUAUUAUGACGGUACCUAAUGAGUAAGCCCCGGCUAACUAUGUGCCAGCAGCCGCGGUAAUACAUAGGGGGCAAGCGUUAUCCGGAAUUAUUGGGCGUAAAGGGUGCGUAGGCGGUUAAAUAAGUUUAUGGUCUAAGUGCAACGCUCAACGUUGUGAUGCUAUAAAAACUGUUUAGCUAGAGUUGGAUAGAGGCAAGUGGAAUUCCGUGUGUAGUGGUAAAAUGCGUAAAUAUACGGAGGAACACCUGAAGCGAAGGCGGCUUGCUGGGUCUUAACUGACGCCGAGGCACGAAAGCGUGGGGAGCAAACAGGAUUAGAUACCCUGGUAGUCCACGCCCUAAACGAUGAGUACUAAACGUUGGAUAAAACCAGUGUUGAAGUUAACACAUUAAGUACUCCGCCUGAGUAGUACGUACGCAAGUAUGAAAUUUAAAGGAAUUGACGGGGCUCCGCACAAGCGGUGGAUCAUGUUGUUUAAUUCGAAGGUACCCGAAAAACCUCACCAGGUCUUGACAUGCUUUUGCAAAGCUGUAGAAAUACAGUGGAGGUUAUCAGAGGCACAGGUGGUGCAUGGUUGUCGUCAGCUCGUGUCGUGAGAUGUUGGGUUAAGUCCCGCAACGAGCGCAACCCUUGUUGUUAAUUGCCAUCAUUAAGUUGGGGACUUUAGCAAGACUGCCAAUGAUAAAUUGGAGGAAGGUGGGGACGACGUCAAAUCAUCAUGCCCCUUAUGACCUGGACUACAAACGUGAUACAAUGGCUGUUACAAAGGGUAGCUAAAGCGUAAGCUUCUGGCGAAUCUCAAAAAAGCAGUCUCAGUUCGGAUUGAAGUCUGCAACUCGACUUCAUGAAGUUGGAAUCGCUAGUAAUCGCGAAUCAGCAUGUCGCGGUGAAUACGUUGACGGGGUUUGUACACACCGCCCGUCA